rnacentral:lncRNA from 1 species
GAUUAAGAGUCAUAUUUUCUUCUCUUUGAUUAACUGGGAUGAUCUCAUUAAUAAGAAGAUCACGCCCCCAUUUAACCCAAAUGUGGUAAGUGUCUGUUUCUGGUGUAAGAAUAGUGAGACCCAGAAGGUUUCUUUUCUGUCAGAAUUUGGAGAAACAAAUAGCAGCUACCAUCUAUCUAUUGACCCAUCAUCCCAGAGGAGAAUUAUUUUAUGUAUGUUUUUAUCCCAAAUUCGUUCAGUGAAUAUGAAUGCAUUUAUUAUCGUUUCCAGUCCUAGUAACAUGUAUCUGUAAUAUCUGUACCUCAGGACUAAAACAGGAUAAGGAGUUUGAGGCCAGCCUAGGAUACAUAGUGAAACUUUGUAAUCAACGAUAUCUUUCUAAACUUUGGAACCUUUAGAGUUAAGUUCAUAGUGGAGGGUAUAGGACUUAAGGACUCCUGCCCUUUGCCCUGUGACCUCUUUAAUGCUGAGUGUACUUCCCCUUCUUUUGACAGAGCGGGCCCAGUGACCUUCGGCACUUUGAUCCCGAGUUUACUGAGGAGCCGGUCCCCAGCUCCAUCGGGCGAUCCCCUGACAGCAUCCUUGUCACAGCCAGUGUGAAAGAAGCCGCGGAAGCCUUCCUUGGCUUCUCCUAUGCCCCUCCUAUGGACUCCUUCCUCUGAAAGCUCCCAGGAUGGUUCCGAAGGAUUUCCUCAGCGUUUUUCUAAAGUGUUUUAGUUAGCCUUUGGUGGAGUUACCAGCUGACAGAACAUCUUAGAAGAGAAAUUUGCACACCAGGAAGCUUGGCAGUCCCGCCUGCCGGGCGCUGCACGCGGCUUGACGCGGAAGCUUUCCGGAAGCUUUCCGAAGAGCACAUCCUCCUCUCAGUGAGCUAGUGAGGUCUUCAUUUCUUUUCUUCCUUCCAACGUGGUGCUAGCUCUAAAGGAGCUUGAGAGUGCCGCCUGAGACGCACCUUGGUCUCAGUGAGAAGGAAGAUGCAGGUCUAAGAGGGAUCUCCGCAGGUCUGAGCUGUGAUCAAGAAUAUUCUGCAAUGUGCCUUUUCUGAGAUUGUGUUAGCUCCAAAGCUUUUCCUAUCGCAGAGUGUCCAGUUUUUGUUUGUUUUUUUUUUUUUGUUUUGUUUUUUGUUUCGUUUUUUUUCCCAACCCUUGCGUAUUUCCCAUGUGUGCAGUUAGUGUGAGUGCUAUGCCUGAUCACAGACAGUUUUGUUGUAAGCAUCAAUGUGACACUUGCAGGACACUACAAUGUGGGACAUUGUUUGUUUCUUCCACAUUUGGAAGAUAAAUUUAUGCGCAGACUGUUUUUUUUUUGUAAGAUAUAAUAACUAAAACCUAUUGAAACGGUCUUGCAGUGACGAGCAUCCAGAUGCUUGAGGGAAGCAUUGCUGCUACAAAUAUUUCUAUUUUUAGAAAGGGUUUUUAUGGACCAAUGCCCCAGUUGUCAGUCAGAGCCGUUGGUGUUUCAUUGUUUAAAAUGUCACCUGCAAAAUGGGCAUUAUUUAUGGUUCCCCCCAACCUUUGUUCAUUUUCUUUUGCAUUCCUGAUUAUUGUGUGUAAAGAAAGUCUGUACAUUGGGUUAUAACACUAGAUAUUUAAACUUACAGGCUUAUUUGUAAACCAUCAUUUUAAUGUCCUGUAAUUAACAUGGUUAUAACAUGUACACUCCCCCCUACUCACCACACAACUUUUUUUGUGUGCGGUGAAACCAAUUUUGGUUUGCAAUAAAAUCUUGAAAACUAUUUGCACAAA